rnacentral:rRNA from 1 species
UACGUAGGGGGCUAGCGUUGUCCGGAAUCAUUGGGCGUAAAGAGCGUGUAGGCGGCCCGGUAAGUCCGCUGUGAAAGUCGGGGGCUCAACCCUCGAAUGCCGGUGGAUACUGUCGGGCUAGAGUGCGGAAGAGGCGAGUGGAAUUCCUGGUGUAGCGGUGAAAUGCGCAGAUAUCAGGAGGAACACCAAUUGCGAAGGCAGCUCGCUGGAACGGUACUGACGCUGAGACGCGAAAGCGUGGGGAGCGAACAGG